CUCAUAAAACAAUAUUUUAAGAACACUACAUAAAUAAUUUUUUACAACGUAAAAGCAAAAUAAAUUCAUAUAUAUUGUAAUACAGAUAAUCAAAGUAUAAAAUUAAAUUUGCAGUGACACGUGAGCCCACGAAUGACCAAAAGUAUCUAGAGAGAUAAACCUACAUAUUUUGAUGAUGCUAGUCCAAUUGUAAUCCUCGAAGAAAUGAGCUAUCUACCGACUAUCCUGAGCCUGAAAUGGAUGGAAAGGAGGGUGGUGAGAUUAUAUAAUCCCAGUGAGUAAACAAAUAUCAUUUAAAAUAUCUAAAGGCGAGUACAAGGAGACUAUUAAAACAUUUCAUUUAAUUGUAAUUUAUCAUCUUUCGACUUAUUUCAACCAAAUGAAAUCAAUUUAUUUAAAUCAAGUAAUCAAUAUGGCUUAUGAACUUCUUAAAACUUUGGCUCGUGCCAAAAUCAUUAUCAUACUUAGUUAUCAGGGAUACCUUGAUCGAGGGCUAUCCCAACCGAGUUCUCCAAGGCUGUUAAAAAGUUUUG
rnacentral:lncRNA from 1 species